GAUAAACGCUGGCGGCGUGCAUGAGACAUGCAAGUCGAACGAAGGAUCGGGCUUGCUCGAUCCUUAGUGGCGGACGGCUGAGUAACGCGUAGGUGACCUACCCCGAAGUGGGGAAUAACUGCCCGAAAGGGUGGCUAAUACCGCAUGUGGUCGCACGUUCAUUCGUGCGAGUAAAGCUGCAAGGCGCUUCGGGAGGGGCCUGCGUCCGAUUAGCUCGUUGGUGGGGUAAUGGCUUACCAAGGCGACGAUCGGUAGGUGGUCUGAGAGGACGAUCACCCAGACUGGGACUGAGACACGGCCCAGACUCCUACGGGAGGCAGCAGUCGGGAAUUUUGCUCAAUGGGGGAAACCCUGAAGCAGCAACGCCGCGUGAGGGAUGAAGGCCUUCGGGUUGUAAACCUCUUUUGUCAGGGACGAUGAUGACGGUACCUGGCGAAUAAGCCACGGCUAACUACGUG
rnacentral:rRNA from 1 species